rnacentral:rRNA from 2 species
GACGAACGCUGGCGGCGUGCUUAACACAUGCAAGUCGAACGGUGACGAGGAGCUUGCUCCUCUGAUCAGUGGCGAACGGGUGAGUAACACGUGAGCAACCUGCCCCAGACUCUGGGAUAACAGUUGGAAACAGCUGCUAAUACCGGAUACGAGACGGAGAGGCAUCUCUACCGUCUGGAAAGUUUUUCGGUCUGGGAUGGACUCGCGGCCUAUCAGCUAGUUGGUGAGGUAAUGGCUCACCAAGGCGACGACGGGUAGCCGGCCUGAGAGGGCGACCGGCCACACUGGGACUGAGACACGGCCCAGACUCCUACGGGAGGCAGCAGUGGGGAAUAUUGCACAAUGGGCGAAAGCCUGAUGCAGCGACGCCGCGUGAGGGAUGACGGCCUUCGGGUUGUAAACCUCUUUCAGCAGGGAAGAAGCGAAAGUGACGGUACCUGCAGAAGAAGCACCGGCUAACUACGUG